AGAAGCUUGCUUCUCUGAUGUUAGCGGCGGACGGGUGAGUAACACGUGGAUAACCUACCUAUAAGACUGGGAUAACUUCGGGAAACCGGAGCUAAUACCGGAUAAUAUUUUGAACCGCAUGGUUCAAAAGUGAAAGACGGUCUUGCUGUCACUUAUAGAUGGAUCCGCGCUGCAUUAGCUAGUUGGUAAGGUAACGGCUUACCAAGGCAACGAUGCAUAGCCGACCUGAGAGGGUGAUCGGCCACACUGGAACUGAGACACGGUCCAGACUCCUACGGGAGGCAGCAGUAGGGAAUCUUCCGCAAUGGGCGAAAGCCUGACGGAGCAACGCCGCGUGAGUGAUGAAGGUCUUCGGAUCGUAAAACUCUGUUAUUAGGGAAGAACAUAUGUGUAAGUAACUGUGCACAUCUUGACGGUACCUAAUCAGAAAGCCACGGCUAACUACGUGCCAGCAGCCGCGGUAAUACGUAGGUGGCAAGCGUUAUCCGGAAUUAUUGGGCGUAAAGCGCGCGUAGGCGGUUUUUUAAGUCUGAUGUGAAAGCCCACGGCUCAACCGUGGAGGGUCAUUGGAAACUGGAAAACUUGAGUGCAGAAGAGGAAAGUGGAAUUCCAUGUGUAGCGGUGAAAUGCGCAGAGAUAUGGAGGAACACCAGUGGCGAAGGCGACUUUCUGGUCUGUAACUGACGCUGAUGUGCGUAAGCGUGGGGAUCAAACAGGAUUAGAUACCCUGGUAGUCCACGCCGUAAACGAUGA
rnacentral:rRNA from 1 species